rnacentral:rRNA from 1 species
GACGAACGCUGGCGGCGUGCUUAACACAUGCAAGUCGAACGAUGAAGCGGGUGCUUGCACUCGUGGAUUAGUGGCGAACGGGCGAGUAACACGUGAGUAACCUGUCCUUUUCUUUGGGAUAACGGCUGGAAACGGCUGCUAAUACUGGAUAUUCAGGCUGCAUCGCAUGGUGUGGUUUGGAAAGGGUUUUUCUGGGUUUGGGUGGGCUCGCGGCCUAUCUGCUUGUUGGUGGGGUGAUGGCUUACCAAGGCUUUGACGGGUAGCCGGGCUGGGCGGGUGGCCGGUCACACUGGGACUGAGAUACGGCCCAGACUACUACGGGAGGCAGCAGUGGGGAAUAUUGCACGAUGGAUGAAAGUAUGAUGCAGCGACGCCGCCUGUAGUGUGUAGGCCUUCGGGUUGUGAACUCCUUUUUCUCGCGAAAAAGGCACAGUUUUGGAUGUGUUGAUGGUAGUGGGGGAAGAAGCUCCGGCUAACUACGUG